rnacentral:misc_RNA from 1 species
CUCCCUCAACCCCCGCGGGUUGGCGUUGAAUGGCACGAGCUCUUAGUCAGUCCAUUCGAAAAGUAUUUUUCUUGUGUUGUUAUUUUCUAAUUUAGUAGUGACAACCACACUAAAAACA